AGUGUUAAGCAAGACGGGACAAAGGAGUGGAGACUGAACUUGCUCUCUUUACAAGGUGAAUUUAGACAUAUGAGCACUCCAGGAGGAGAUCUGAUUUGACAAACAUGUCUAGAAAGAGGAAAAGCAAGCACUGGCAUUAACUUGGCUUCCACUGAGACUAGGCUCCAUUAGUGAACUAAAUGUUGGUAUUCUGGGAAAAGCCAGCUUGUUACUGGAAAUUUUAAUUCUUUGAAAAAAAUGGCAUUAGAUUUGCCUUUGGUUGUUGCAUUCCAAGAGCUCUUGCCUAUGAAACCUUUCUUGAUCAUAGAGUGCAGCAAGUCUACCAGAAUGUUCAAUUUAUCUGCUACCAGUCAUCAUUUCUUGCCCUGGCAGACAUUGCUAAUCAAUCUGAUGCUGACUCAGCUCACAUUUAAACUAAGAUUUCCUGAGAUGAUUCUGUAUGCAACCACUACCAACUGAUGAGUGCUGACAUGAAUAUGAAACCUGUUUGAACUCCUUGUGCUUUUAUGGUGUGUACUUUACAAUGAACUCUGAUCUAUUCACUACCAUUGAGUUUUAGUGGCAUUUGAUAAUGUUGCACUUGAUUAUAUUGUUAUAGUAUCCUCUUUUUUGAUUCAAAUCUGUUAAAAAUUGUUUAUCUCCAAAACGUUUAAGUACCUAGGGCACUUGGACUGUGUUUUAUACUACUUUGUGACCUUCCCAGUGUCA
rnacentral:lncRNA from 10 species